rnacentral:snRNA from 1 species
GCCACGAUCCACUGAGAUUC